rnacentral:rRNA from 1 species
GACGAACGCUGGCGGCGUGCUUAACACAUGCAAGUCGAACGGAAAGGCCCUGCUUUUGUGGGGUGCUCGAGUGGCGAACGGGUGAGUAACACGUGAGUAACCUGCCCUUGACUUUGGGAUAACUUCAGGAAACUGGGGCUAAUACCGGAUAGGAGCUCCUGCUGCAUGGUGGGGGUUGGAAAGUUUCGGCGGUUGGGGAUGGACUCGCGGCUUAUCAGCUUGUUGGUGGGGUAGUGGCUUACCAAGGCUUUGACGGGUAGCCGGCCUGAGAGGGUGACCGGCCACAUUGGGACUGAGAGACGGCCCAGACUCCUACGGGAGGCAGCAGGGGGGAAUAUUGCACAAUGGGCGGAAGCCUGAUGCAGCAACGCCGCGUGCGGGAUGACGGCCUUCGGGUUGUAAACCGCUUUCGCCUGUGACGAAGCGUGAGUGACGGUAAUGAGUAAAGAAGCACCGGCUAACUACGUG